AUGGGAGAGAUUAAUGCCAAUGGUGGAUGCCUUGGCAGUUUGAGCCGAAGAAGGACGCGUGUUUAAGCGCGAAAACAACGAUGAGCCCUUAAAUAGACGUUAUCAAUCGUUGGUUUCCGAAUGGGGCAACCCCUUUCUGUGAAAGCAGAGAGAACCCUGACGCAAGUUGGGGUGGGGCACUCGGGGAACUGAAACAUCUCAGUACCCGAAGGAAAAUAAAACAAUAGUGAUAGCCCUAGUAGCGGCGAGCGAACGGGCCACAGUCUAAACCGUGCUUCGCACAAGGAAUAUUAGUUCGAAGUUAUUGGUAGCUUGGUUAUGAGUUACUUGGUAUGUUUUGCCAAGUAACCAACCAACUAAGCUUCUAAGUAACAAACUAAUAGAUCUCGUGCGAGGCAUGGUGUUGCGGGGCAGAUAAUAUGGGAUUUAUUGAGGAUAAAAAAACGCUUUGGAAAGAGCGGCCUUAGAAAGUGAUAGCCUUGUAUUUUAAAUCCGAGAUAACCUUAUUCUGUUCCCAAGUACUACGAGGCACGGCAAACCUUGUAGGAAUCCGGGUCGGUCACGACCCAAGACUAAAUACUCAAACUGACCGAUAGUGAACUAGUACCGUGAGGGAAAGGUGAAAAGAACCCAGAAAUGGGAGUGAAAUAGAAACUGAAACCAUUGGCUAACAAGCAGACAGGGCUUGUCCUUCGGACAAGAAUUUUCAAUGAUCAAUGAUCAAUUUACGAAUUAAUUUGUAAAUUGUAAAUUGUAAAUUGGACAUUCUCGCCCGGAGGGCGAGUGAUGUCGUGCCUAUUGAAGAAUGAGUCAGCGAGUUUACGUUUACGGUUUGUUUAACCUCGAAAUUUUUGAGGGAAGACAUAGGGAAACCGAGUCCUAAUAGGGCGCUUUUAUCGUAAACGUAAGACCCGAAACUGUGUGAGCUAACCAUGGGCAGGAUGAUUCUCUCCGAAAGGAGAGAGGAGGUCCGAACGCGUUGUUGGUGAAAUAACAUGCGAGGACUUGUGGUUAGGGGUAAUAUGCCAAUCGAACACAGAGAUAGCUGGUUCUCCUCGAGAUAUAUUUAGGUAUAGCCUCUAGUUAACGUUACACG
rnacentral:rRNA from 1 species